rnacentral:misc_RNA from 1 species
UCGUCUCUUCGCCGCCGCGUCCGCCAGGCCUCCAACGAAGACCCACCAUAUCCCACAUUCUUGUCGCACCGCCUUGUUGUUUGCUGUCGUCGCAGCACUUCUGCGAUCAUGCGCCGCGCCAUAUCGUCCACUCUCACCCGUGGCGCCCGCACUCUUGGCGUCAAGUCGGGGCUGUUUCAGCUCACGCAGUACCGCUUCCAGUCGCAGCCACCGCCUGGUGUGCCGCAGGGCCGGCAUCAAGACACGAAUGCCGCUCCUGCGGGAUCGAAGCGCAGCGACGACGCGCAGCCAGAGUUCGAGCCCCCGAAGAAGCCGACAGAGGUGCCCAAGUUUGUGAGAAUCAACACAAAUGAGAAGGGCAUCACAAACGUGCAGCUGGCCCGUGCCCCGGUGAACUCGAUGAGCCUGGAGCUCUUCCAGGAGCUGAACCAGUGGAUGCUGUGGCUUGGAAGCAACGAGGAGACGAAGGCUGUGAUCAUCUCCUCUGCGAUUCCGACAGUCUUCUCGGCUGGACUGGACCUCGUCGAGGUGCAUAACCCGAAGCCGGAUCGCAUCGCGGUCUUCUGGCAGAGCUUCCAGGAGAUGUGGCUCAUCUUCAACUCUUUCCCCAAGCCAAUCAUCGCGGCCAUCACCGGCAACUCACCGGCGGGGGGCUGUAUCAUCGCGAUGGGCUGCGACUACCGUGUGAUGGCUCGCGGGCCGAAGGACAACACGAACAACAACCGGCUCUACCGCAUCGGUCUUAACGAGACGAAACUAGGACUCGUCGCCCCGCCGUGGGUGAUGCCAGCCUAUGCCUACCUGCUGGGCUCGCGCCAGGCGGAGCGGAUGCUGCAGCUGGGCGAGACACCCGUGGCCGACGAUGCGCGAAACCUCGGGCUCAUUGAUGAGGUGGCCGCCGAUGAAGAAAGCACAAUCGAAGCGGCCUACCAGCAGGCGGAACGCUUUCUCAGCGUGCCGCAGCAGUCUCGGUGGAUGGCCCGUGAUAUGAUGCGACGCGAGUACUUGCAGAUGCUUGCUUCGGACGAAGAGCGCAACUACGAUACAGAGUUUUUCACGCAAUUUGUGCAGAGCCCUGAGGUGCAGAAGAACCUUGAAAGCUACCUGGAACGCCUCAAGAGCCGCUCUCGUAAGUAAGGCCGAGUGAUUCUAGCGCGAAUCCGGCGCAUCGGCGUGUUAUUUAUCUCUCUCUUCCGUAUACAUCUGGGAAGCACGGUGCGGCAAUGGCGUCGUUCGCAUGCGCCUUCGUCCUCCCUUUCUCGUGCUCCCGUAGAAGAGAGGACGCAUGAUCGCUGGAGUUGAAAAUGGGGUGAUGUGAUGCGGCCUAGUGUUCACAUGGAUGAUGUCUCGAUAAGCUUGAGAGAAGACUCCUGUAAAGGAGAAGUGCCCU